CAGAGUUGAAACCAAGGCACAGGAGAUGUUUAUACAAAGAAUUGCUACUACAGAGAGGUACCACACCCAAUGUGGAAAUGUGGAGAUUACCAGACCUUCAAUUGGAGGCUCUAUGAAUGGGCCCACCAUUCUGCACAGUAAUAUUUCUUCAUCCAAUUUUUCUUUCAAUACCUUAGGAUACUCAUAAGCUGAUUUCAAAUUCCUUUUAAUUCUACCCCAACUUACUAAAUGCUGCAAUGAAAUUUUAAAACCUUCAACAAAAUAUUUUUAAUACAUUCAGACUUAGUUCUAUCUGGAUACACGUCUAACCACGGGGUUAAUUUGCCAAUGUUAAUUGGAAAUGGUGCCUUUGCCACCACUGCCAUGACAGGAAAUACGCUUAAACCCUGACUCCUUUUUCACCAAACACUACUGGGUGGUUGCUCCAACAAAAAGAACAGACAUGCCUACAUUUGCAACACUUCUCCCCUAUCACACUUCUCAUUGAAACUCCAACACUCCCUUUUUAGAGAAAUCACUUCUACCUCUGUCUGAUGAUUGGCCUUCUCCAUUAGGCAGAAUUCGCUCAUAAUAAUACAUGUCACACCUCCACGGGGAAGUCUCCCUGCCUGACUGUGUACGGACAGCAUCCUCAAGCCUUUCCCCACGAUUUCCUCUUGCUGGAGACGACCAUGUGGCUCAUAUGUCUACCAUUUGGUCUGCUACCAAAGCCAAUCUGGAAAAAAGUUCUUUGGUCCAUUAAAAUUAUGCUGACCAUAGACGGAAAUCCUCUCCCCAAUAUAAGGUAGGGGACAAAGUGUGGCUGUCUACCAGAAACAUUAAUCUCAGGAUUUCUUCGCCCACGUGGGGCCCAGGAUUUGUUGGUCCUUUUCAAAUCCUGAAAAUCAUUAAUCCUAUGGCUGUCAGACUGCAACUUCCCCCUGAGAUGCGAAUUCCCAAUGUGUUCCAUGUUUCCGUGGUGAAACCAGAUAUCGCAAAUCAUUUCUCUACGGACCAGUCUCCCUCAUGGACAAUCAACAGGCAUAUAAAGUAGAGAAGAUUGUUACAAUUCCUCAUUAAAUGGAAGGGUUUUGGUCCUGAAGAAUGCUCUUGGAAGAAACAUACAGAUGUUCAUGCCCUUCGGUUGGUGCGAGACUUCUACAGACAAUUUCCCCAGAAACCAAGGGUCCAGUAACAUUACUGGACCCCCCCUGGGGGAGGGGGUACUGUAAGGAGUGCUCGGAGCGCUCCGCGUCGCUCCUAUACUUACCGGCACAUCAUCCAAGAUGUCGGCGCCCUUAGGUGCCAUGUGGGUUGUGGUGUUGGCGUCAUGACAUUGGCGCGUAAACGCGUAACGUCAUGAAAAAUUCUAAAUAAAAAGAUGCCCAGGACACCAGUUCAAUGCCCAAUUGUAGAUUCCUAUUACUGGUGUUCCUGGGUGUUAUUCUACUGCCUGUUUUUGGACUUUUGAUCUUGCUUGACCCUGACUACAAUCCUUGCCACCUGCCUUGUGAACUUCUGCCUGUUUCCUGACUUUGUCUCCUGUUUAACCCCUUGGCUGCCGCAUAUUGGAUUUUGGCCUAGUGCUUCCUCCUUGGUCCGGACUUCUCUGAUACUGGAGCUGCAAGGCCCCUGACAAGUAUAUACUUUAGCCGGAAAUAUUGGGAACCAUGAAAUUAAAAGUUUGGGUACCUAGUGAUUAGCCCAAUUUAUCUUUGUAAACACCCUCAGUAUCCAUAUAUAUGUAUCCAGAUAUGGCAUUGCCUACAUGAGAGCAUGAAGACCCAGAUUUAAAAAAAAAAAAAAAAAAACCCCCACACAGCAGUCCUCUAUCCUGGCAUUUCCCAGUGAUUCCAGUCCUAACGUAAACUUACAGUGGUAGUGAAGAGGUUGAGGUAAUGUUACUUGGUGCACUUUGGGCCUGACUUGAGUUUAGCUUUUUAGGUACAUCUGUCAGCUGUCAGAAUGAAAACAGUGCCAGAUGGCUAAAGAUAGGCAACAGGGUAUCUUUACAUCUCUUUUGACAGAAAAUAUUACAUUGGAUACACAAAUACAUUUUUGUUUUUUUGUCUCUUUAUUUUCAUGACAGCAACUUUACAAGGGCAGAUGAAACAACUAUUUGCAUUUGCUUUGCACUCAUUCAUAUCUUAAAAGUAUGACAAGCCCCAGUCAAAAGCAACACAAUAAAGUGUUCAUGUUUCUUUUAUUGAAUGGGGCAGUUGCAGUCUGACAUGUUUGCGCAGCUGUCUAGCUCUGUGUUUAGCACAGUGGCUGGAAUUAUUUAACACUUCCUAAACCAUAUUGCUAAGUACAUAUUGCUAAAGCAACUUUAGAGUUUCUUAAUUUUGUCUGGGAAAAUUGUUUGUGUGUUUAUUGCAUAUAACGUAACAUUUUUAGCACGUAUAUUAAACACAUGAAAAAUGUCUGUUUUUUGUGUUAUUCUUAGACGUUCAAAAACAUGGAAAUAGUAAAACUGGUUAAAACUUGCA